GACGAACGCUGGCGGCGUGCCUAAUACAUGCAAGUCGAACGAAGCUGUUUUAACUGGUGCUUGCACCGACUUAAACAACUGAGCGGCGAACGGGUGAGUAACACGUGGGUAACCUGCCCCAAAGCGGGGGAUAACAUUUGGAAACAGAUGCUAAUACCGCAUAACCACAGAAACCACAUGGUUUCUGUGUCAAAGAUGGUUUCGGCUAUCACUUUGGGAUGGACCCGCGGCGUAUUAGCUAGUUGGUAAGGUAAUGGCUUACCAAGGCAAUGAUACGUAGCCGAACUGAGAGGUUGAUCGGCCACAUUGGGACUGAGACACGGCCCAAACGCCUACGGGAGGCAGCAGUAGGGAAUCUUCCACAAUGGACGAAAGUCUGAUGGAGCAACGCCGCGUGAGUGAAGAAGGUUUUCGGAUCGUAAAACUCUGUUGUCAGAGAAGAACGUGUGCGAGAGUAACUGCUCGUGCAGUGACGGUAUCUGGCCAGAAAGCCACGGCUAACUACGUGCCAGCAGCCGCCGUAA
rnacentral:rRNA from 1 species